AGCGAACGCUGGCGGCAGGCCUAACACAUGCAAGUCGAACGAACCUUUCGGGGUUAGUGGCGGACGGGUGGGUAACACGUGGGAACGUGCCUUUAGGUUCGGAAUAACUCAGGGAAACUUGUGCUAAUACCGAAUGUGCCCUUCGGGGGAAAGAUUGAUCGCCUUUAGAGCGGCCCGCGUCUUAUUAGCUAGUUGGUUGAGGUAAUGGCUCACCAAGGCGACGAUCAGUAGCUGGUCUGAGAGGAUGAUCAGCCACAUUGGGACUGAGACACGGCCCAAACUCCUACGGGAGGCAGCAGUGGGGAAUCUUGCGCAAGGGGCGAAAGUCUGACGCAGCCAUGCCGCGUGAAUGAUGAAGGUCUUAGGAUUGUAAAAUUCUUUCACCGGGGACGAUAAUGACGGUACCCGGAGAAGAAGCCCCGGCUAACUUCGUG
rnacentral:rRNA from 1 species